rnacentral:rRNA from 1 species
GAUGAACGCUGGCGGCGUGCCUAAUACAUGCAAGUCGAGCGAACAGACGAGGAGCUUGCUCCUCUGACGUUAGCGGCGGACGGGUGAGUAACACGUGGAUAAACCACCUAUAAGACUGGGAUAAUUUCGGGAAACCGGAGCUAAUACCGGAUAAUAUAUUGAACCGCAUGGUUCAAUAGUGAAAGACGGUUGUGCGGUCACUUAUAGCUGGAUCCGCCGCGCAUUAGCUAGUGGGUAAGGUAACGGCUUACCAAGGCGAGGAUGCGUAGCCGACCUGAGAGCGUCAUCGGCCACCCUGGAACUGAGACACGGUCCAGACUCCUACGGGAGGCAGCAGUAGGGAAUCCUCCGCAAUGGGCGAAAGCCUGACGGAGCAACGCCGCGUGAGUGAUGAAGGUCUUCGGAUCGUAAAACUCUGUUAUUAGGGAAGAACAAAUGUGUAAGUAACUAUGCACGUCUUGACGGUACCUAAUCAGAAAGCCACGGCUAACUACGUG